rnacentral:rRNA from 1 species
UACGUAGGCGGAAAAUUAAGUCAGUAGUGAAAUCCCAUAGCUUAACUGUGGAACUGUUAUUGAUACUGGUUUUCUUGAAUUUAGUUGAGGUAGGCGGAAUGUGUAAUGUAGCGGUGAAAUGCUUAGAUAUUACACAGAACACCGAUUGCGAAGGCAGCUUACUAAGCUAUGAUUGACGCUGAGGUACGAAAGCGUGGGGAGCGAACAGGAUUAGAUACCCUGGUAGUCCC